rnacentral:rRNA from 1 species
GGUUAAGUUAGAAAGGGCGCACGGUGAAUGCCUUGGCACUAGGAGCCGAUGAAGGACGGGACUAACACCGAUAUGCUUCGGGGAGCUGUAAGUGAGCUUUGAUCCGGAGAUUUCCGAAUGGGGAAACCCACUGUUCGUAAUGGAACAGUAUCUUUAUCUGAAUACAUAGGAUAUUGAAGGCAGACCCGGGGAACUGAAACAUCUAAGUACCCGGAGGAAGAGAAAGCAAAUGCGAUUUCCUGAGUAGCGGCGAGCGAAACGGAAUUAGCCCAAACCAAGAGGCUUGCCUCUUGGGGUUGUAGGACACUCUAUACGGAGUUACAAAGGAACGAAGUAAAUGAAGCGACCUGGAAAGGUCCGUCAAAGAAGGUAACAACCCUGUAGUUGAAACUUCGUUCCCUCUUGAGUGAAUCCUGAGUACGGCGGAACACGUGAAAUUCCGUCGGAAGCUGGGAGGACCAUCUCCCAAGGCUAAAUACUACCUAGUGACCGAUAGUGAACCAGUACCGUGAGGGAAAGGUGAAAAGCACCCCGGAAGGGGAGUGAAAGAGAUCCUGAAACCGUGUGCCUACAAGUAGUCAGAGCCCGUUAACGGGUGAUGGCGUGCCUUUUGUAGAAUGAACCGGCGAGUUACGAUCCCAUGCAAGGUUAAGCUGAUAAGGCGGAGCCGUAGCGAAAGCGAGUCUGAAUAGGGCGUUUAGUAUGUGGUUGUAGACCCGAAACCAGGUGAUCUACCCAUGUCCAGGGUGAAGUUCAGGUAACACUGAAUGGAGGCCCGAACCCACGCACGUUGAAAAGUGCGGGGAUGAGGUGUGGGUAGCGGAGAAAUUCCAAUCGAACCUGGAGAUAGCUGGUUCUCUCCGAAAUAGCUUUAGGGCUAGCCUCAUGUUGUGAGAGUCUUGGAGGUAGAGCACUGAUUGGACUAGGGGCCCCCCAACGGGUUACCGAAUUCAGUCAAACUCCGAAUGCCAAAGACUUAUCCAUGGGAGUCAGACUGCGAGUGAUAAGAUCCGUAGUCAAAAGGGAAACAGCCCAGACCACCAGCUAAGGUCCCCAAGUAUACGUUAAGUGGAAAAGGAUGUGGAGUUGCUUAGACAACCAGGAUGUUGGCUUAGAAGCAGCCACCAUUUAAAGAGUGCGUAAUAGCUCACUGGUCGAGUGACUCUGCGCCGAAAAUGUACCGGGGCUAAACGUAUCACCGAAGCUGUGGAUUGACAUCUUUGAUGUCAGUGGUAGGAGAGCGUUCUAAGUGCUGUGAAGUCAGACCGUAAGGACUGGUGGAGCGCUUAGAAGUGAGAAUGCCGGUAUGAGUAGCGAAAGACAAGUGAGAAUCUUGUCCACCGAAUGCCUAAGGUUUCCUGAGGAAGGCUCGUCCGCUCAGGGUUAGUCGGGACCUAAGCCGAGGCUGAAAAGCGUAGGCGAUGGCCAACAGGUUGAUAUUCCUGUACCACCUCCCCGCCGUUUGAGUAAUGGGGGGACGCAGUAGGAUAGGGUAAGCGCGCUGCUGGAUAUGCGCGUUCAAGCAGUUAGGCUGAUGAGUAGGCAAAUCCGCUCAUCAUAAAGGCUGAGCUGUGAUGACGAGGGAAUUAUAGUACCGAAGUUCCUGAUUCCACACUGCCAAGAAAAGCCUCUAGCGAGGCGGGAGGUGCCCGUACCGCAAACCGACACAGGUAGGCGAGGAGAGAAUCCUAAGGUGAUCGAGAGAACUCUCGUUAAGGAACUCGGCAAAAUGACCCCGUAACUUCGGGAGAAGGGGUGCUCUGGUAGGGUGUAUAGCCCGAGAGAGCCGCAGUGAAUAGGCCCAGGCGACUGUUUAGCAAAAACACAGGUCUCUGCGAAGCCGCAAGGCGAAGUAUAGGGGCUGACGCCUGCCCGGUGCUGGAAGGUUAAGAGGAGGGGUUAUCCUUUGGGAGAAGCUCUGAAUCGAAGCCCCAGUAAACGGCGGCCGUAACUAUAACGGUCCUAAGGUAGCGAAAUUCCUUGUCGGGUAAGUUCCGACCCGCACGAAAGGCGUAACGAUCUGGGCACUGUCUCAACGAGAGACUCGGUGAAAUUAUAGUACCUGUGAAGAUGCAGGUUACCCGCGACAGGACGGAAAGACCCCGUGGAGCUUUACUGUAGCCUGAUAUUGAAUUUUGGUACAGCUUGUACAGGAUAGGUAGGAGCCUGAGAAGCCGGAGCGCUAGCUUCGGUGGAGGCGUCGGUGGGAUACUACCCUGGCUGUAUUGAAAUUCUAACCCGCGGCCCUGAUCGGGCCGGGAGACAGUGUCAGGUGGGCAGUUUGACUGGGGCGGUCGCCUCCUAAAAUGUAACGGAGGCGCCCAAAGGUUCCCUCAGAAUGGUUGGAAAUCAUUCGUAGAGUGUAAAGGCACAAGGGAGCUUGACUGCGAGACCUACAAGUCGAGCAGGGACGAAAGUCGGGCUUAGUGAUCCGGUGGUUCCGCAUGGAAGGGCCAUCGCUCAACGGAUAAAAGCUACCCCGGGGAUAACAGGCUUAUCUCCCCCAAGAGUCCACAUCGACGGGGAGGUUUGGCACCUCGAUGUCGGCUCAUCGCAUCCUGGGGCUGUAGUCGGUCCCAAGGGUUGGGCUGUUCGCCCAUUAAAGCGGUACGCGAGCUGGGUUCAGAACGUCGUGAGACAGUUCGGUCCCUAUCCGUCGUGGGCGUAGGAAAUUUGAGAGGAGCUGUCCUUAGUACGAGAGGACCGGGAUGGACACACCGCUGGUGUACCAGUUGUCUUGCCAAAGGCAUCGCUGGGUAGCUAUGUGUGGACGGGAUAAGUGCUGAAAGCAUCUAAGCAUGAAGCCCCCCUCAAGAUGAGAUUUCCCAUAGCGCAAGCUAGUAAGAUCCCUGAAAGAUGAUCAGGUUGAUAGGUCAGAGGUGGAAGCGUGGCGACAUGUGUAGCUGACUGAUACUAAUCGAUCGAGGACUUAACCAA